rnacentral:rRNA from 1 species
AUUGAACGCUGGCGGCAGGCCUAACACAUGCAAGUCGAGCGGAUGAAGGGAGCUUGCUCCUGGAUUCAGCGGCGGACGGGUGAGUAAUGCCUAGGAAUCUGCCUGGUAGUGGGGGAUAACGUCCGGAAACGGGCGCUAAUACCGCAUACGUCCUGAGGGAGAAAGUGGGGGAUCUUCGGACCUCACGCUAUCAGAUGAGCCUAGGUCGGAUUAGCUAGUUGGUGGGGUAAAGGCCUACCAAGGCGACGAUCCGUAACUGGUCUGAGAGGAUGAUCAGUCACACUGGAACUGGGACACGGUCCAGACUCCUACGGGAGGCAGCAGUGGGGAAUAUUGGACAAUGGGCGAAAGCCUGAUCCAGCCAUGCCGCGUGUGUGAAGAAGGUCUUCGGAUUGUAAAGCACUUUAAGUUGGGAGGAAGGGCAGUAAGUUAAUACCUUGCUGUUUUGACGUUACCAACAGAAUAAGCACCGGCUAACUUCG